rnacentral:rRNA from 1 species
AGGUUACUGCUAUCGGUGUUCGCCUAAGCCAUGCGAGUCAUAUGUUCGUAAGAACAUGGCGUACUGCUCAGUAACACGUGGAUAACCUGCCCUUGGGUCCGGCAUAACCCCGGGAAACUGGGGAUAAUUCCGGAUAACGCACAUAUGCUGGAAUGCUUUAUGCGUAAAAUGGAUUCGUCUGCCCAAGGAUGGGUCUGCGGCCUAUCAGGUAGUAGUGGGUGUAAUGUACCUACUAGCCUACGACGGGUACGGGUUGUGAGAGCAAGAGCCCGGAGAUGGAUUCUGAGACAUGAAUCCAGGCCCUACGGGGCGCAGCAGGCGCGAAAACUUUACAAUGCGGGAAACCGUGAUAAGGGGACACCGAGUGCCAGCAUCCUAUGCUGGCUGUCCGGGUGUGUAAAAUACACCUGUUAGCAAGGGCCGGGCAAGACCGGUGCCAGCCGCCGCGGUAACACCGGCGGCCCGAGUGGUGAUCGUGAUUAUUGGGUCUAAAGGGUCCGUAGCCGGUUUGGUCAGUCCUCCGGGAAAUCUGACAUCUUAACUGUUAGGCUUUCGGAGGAUACUGCCAGACUUGGAACCGGGAGAGGUAAGAGGUACUACAGGGGUAGGAGUGAAAUCUUGUAAUCCCUGUGGGACCACCUGUGGCGAAGGCGUCUUACCAGAACGGGUUCGACGGUGAGGGACGAAAGCUGGGGGCACGAACCGGAUUAGAUACCCGGGUAGUCCCAGCCGUAAACGAUGCUCGCUAGGUGUCAGGCAUGGCGCGACCGUGUCUGGUGCCGCAGGGAAGCCGUGAAGCGAGCCACCUGGGAAGUACGGCCGCAAGGCUGAAACUUAA